rnacentral:rRNA from 1 species
GGCGAACGGGUGAGGAACACGUGAGAAACCUGCCUUUCAUUCUGGGAUAACACCGGGAAACCGGUGCUAAUACCGGAUACUCCAUCUUGGCGGCAUCGCCGAGCUGGGAAAAAAUUUUGAUGAAAGAUGGUCUCGCGGCCUAUCAGCUAGUUGGUGAGGUAAAGGCUCACCAAGGCGACGACGGGUAGCCGGCCUGAGAGGGCGACCGGCCACACUGGGACUGAGACACGGCCCAGACUCCUACGGGAGGCAGCAGUAGGGAAUAUUGGGCAAUGGGCGAAAGCCUGACCCACCGAACCCCGCUUUGAGGGAUGAAGGUCUCCGCGU